rnacentral:rRNA from 1 species
GACCUUUAGUUUGAAACCCCGAAACCAGGUGAGCUACCCCGAGACAGCCUAUUGAGGGCCAACCCGUCUCUGUGGCAAAAGAGUGGGAAGAGCUCCGGGUAGAAGUGACAGACCUACCGAACCUGGUGAUAGCUGGUUGCCUAAGAAAUGGAUAGAAGUUCAGCCUCGUACUCCCCAAAUCAAGUAAGCAUUAACAAGACAACAAGAGAAAUACACGAGAGUUAGUUAAAGGGGGUACAGCCCCUUUGACAAAGGAUACAACCUUUCUAGGAGGAUAAAGAUCAUAAUACAUAAAACAUACUGUUCUAGUGGGCCUAAAAGCAGCCACCUAAAUAGAAAGCGUUAAAGCUCAGACAGACAGAAGUUUAUUAUCCUGAUAAUAUAUCUCACUCCCCUAAAUACUAUUAGGCCAACCCAUGCCCACAUGGAAGAGAUUAUGCUAAAAUGAGUAACAAGAAGGCCCGCCCUUCUCCAAGCACAAGUGUAAGCCAAAUCGGACUAGCCAUUGGCAACUAACGAACUCAACCCAAGAGAGCAAUGUGGUAUUACAAAAAAACCUAGAAAAACCCACAACCUAGAUAUCGUUACCCCCACACUGGAGUGCAACAAAGGAAAGACUAAAAGAAAAGGAAGGAACUCGGCAAACACAAGCCUCGCCUGUUUACCAAAAACAUCGCCUCCUGCAACACAACCAAGUAUAGGAGGUCCAGCCUGCCCAGUGACUACAAGUUCAACGGCCGCGGUAUUUUGACCGUGCAAAGGUAGCGCAAUCACUUGUCUUUUAAAUAGAGACCUGUAUGAAUGGCUAAACGAGGGCUUAACUGUCUCCCCUUUCCAGUCAGUGAAAUUGAUCUACCCGUGCAGAAGCGGGUAUAAUAAUACAAGACGAGAAGACCCUUUGGAGCUUAAGGUACAAAACUCAACCACGUUAAGCAACUCAAUAAAAAGUGAAAACUUUGUGGAAUAUGAGAUUUUACCUUCGGUUGGGGCGACCACGGAGGAAAAAGAAGCCUCCAGGUGGACCGGGAGAAUUUCCUAAAACUAAGAGAGACAUCUCUAAGCCACAGAACAUCUGACCAAAUAUGAUCCGGCUAAUACAAGCCGAUCAACGAACCAAGUUACCCUAGGGAUAACAGCGCAAUCCUCUCCCAGAGUCCAUAUCGACGAGGGGGUUUACGACCUCGAUGUUGGAUCAGGACAUCCUAAUGGUGCAGCCG